rnacentral:tRNA from 1 species
AAUAAAUUGCCUGAUUAAAGGAUUACUUUGAUAGAGUAAAUUAUAUAAUUAAUUAAUUAUAUUUAUUA